CCGCCCCAGUCCUGCCCGGAUGCCCCCCACCUCGGACGGAGUUUCUGAACAUUGUUCUCCCACCUCCGCCGGCCGUAACUGAGAGAUGACCCCCAGCUGCACAGGGACCGGCGGAGAGGUCUGCCUGGUGGCGCCUCUGACAGCCAGCACCCCCCGCGUGCCUCUGGCACACGCCUCCCGCCCGGCCCGGCCUGCCCAAGGCCGCUGGAGCGUGCCAGGUGGGAGGCAGCUGUGAUGGAAGGUGCGGUGGGUGUGGCGAGGUGAUGCGGACACCCCCGUGGAAAUGCUCCGCCCUCCGUGGCUCACCUCCAUUACCGGUGUCAUCAUGAAACAAUCGCAAUUAGGCAUAACAAUGAUCACGAUAAUAGCAGGACCAUAAAAGCAGCUCCUGGGCAGUGCCUCUGCCCGCCAGACACAGUUUCGGGGGCUUUGCUUGCGGAGGGGUGAGGAUGAUCAUACCCAUUUUACAGAUCUGGAGGCCAGCACACAGAACUUCUUCAAAUACACACCCGAAGGGAAGACUACAAGGGCUGCUGGUCCGGCCAUCGGGGACCCCCUGCAAAUUUCCCAAGUCCUGGAAGAGCCGGGCCCGGGGAGGGGGGGGGGCAAUGGUUGACACAGCGCCUCUGACAGUCGUGUGUUUCAUCAGUCCUCCCAGCGGAUUUCUCAAGCAUUCCCUGAUUUUAUUGGGUGAGCCCCGUGAGAACGGCUUUCGGAGUCAUUCCUGCCUUGUGCCACGCUGCCGGUCCUGGAUUGGGAUUCGGGGGAUGGCGUGGACCGAACGGAAGCACAGGCUCUCGAGUAUUUCCUCACCACUUCUCCACCCACUCGGCUCAGCGUCCCUAGUCCCAUGGCUUGGGGGUCUUUAGUAGAUAGCCUUUCCGUCACCCCAAAUCUCUCAAAACUCAGAAGUGAGCGUUUUUCGCACUUCACUGUGCUGUGGCACAUAAAACGGCUAGUAGGUACCCAAACGGAGACAUCUUUUCCUGUCUCUACGCCGGUCAAUAACAGAAUUAUUUACAGACCCCCGCCUUCCUUGAAAUUCUACUCUCGCCGCCUGAUCCAUUAUUUAUAACACAUAUUCCGUCUGACGGGAAGGACUGCCCACCACUGGGCCUCAGCUAAUCCCACUGAACAGAGGGAAGCCGUGAGGCACAGACAGGAGAAAUGGCCCAGGUGAGGUGGCCCAGCUAACGCGUGAUGGAUGCAGGUCUUGAACCCAGGCCUCUCUGAUUUUGGGACCUGGGCUCCACCUCAACAUCGGGCUUCUAUAAAGCACUCAUGAAAGAAACUGCUCCUGGAUUGAAAGAACAAAUACUACCAAAAGCAAGCUACACAUUUAGCGCGAAUCCCUAUCAAAACACCUCCAGCGUGACGGGAGAGGCUGCAAGAAUGUGGGAGAGGGGUACGGGCAGGUCAGGGGGCAUCACUCGGCUUCUCCCUCCUGCCGACUAAGGGAUUAAGCCAGGGGCUGACCCUUGGAAGGCUCCACCUUGCUCCUGGCCCCAGGUCCCAAGCAGGUGCGAGAUGAAUAAUGCAUUUUGCAGCAAAACCCACUGAGGCCCUGUGAGGAGAAGUAGAUAGAAAUCAGCCGUGUGUGUGUGUGUGUGUGUGUGUGUGUGUGUGUGCGUGUGCGUGCACAGAUGUGGAAAUCCUACCUGGGCUUGCUCUGGCGGGAGGGGGGCAGGGGCUUAGGGCGGGAGGACUUCCAGAGGCCCAAGGCCGACCUUCACCUAUGCACGUUCCAUAGCUUCCUGUGGCUUUGUUAGGGCCACACUUUGUCCAGCUGCAACCACGCUGGGGUUGCUGGAGUGAAACCUCAGACUUCACUUAAAAAAUUUUUUUGAGAGAGCGUGUGCACACCCACGU
ensembl:lncRNA